rnacentral:lncRNA from 1 species
CCCUGCUCGUGCUCGACACGCCAGAUCGACAGCCGCCAAUCCCUGCGUUCGGCCUCCUUCCACUGCUCGGUCAUGGUGUCCGAGUUCUGGGCCGGGGUUGUGCGCGUGGCCUCGUCGGUGGUCGCGAACUCGCCAAACUAGCACCCUAGCCACCAACCUCCGUUCACCUCGACGACGGAACGUGUCACUGCUCCAUCCAUGGCUGCGAGUCUACCUCCGCCGAGCUGCCAGUCUCUAGCUCCUCCGGCUAUUCUGCUCGCUCGACAACUCGUCACCACUGGGUCUACGCCAUCGGCUCCUCGUCUGGCUUUAACUUCGUCGUGGCCAGCAGCUUCAAUUCUGUGAGCGUCCAACGCCGCCCCCUGGUUCACUCUCUCCGUACGCACAUCGCCCUUGUCCCCUGUCCGUGUAGCAUAUCUCCGCGCUCUGCGUCAUCGCCGUCGUUGCUUUUGGAGUUCGUCAUGACGCGCUGUCGAUGAUCUGAGUAUAACGGGUGAUCUUUGCAAGUUCACCUAGCUUCGUGGUAAUUAAUUUUGAUGGCGAUCUGCGUUACUUAGCGCUAUGUUUGUUUCCUUUGUGUGUUUGUGUUUCGAUGUUGAAGCCGAAGCCAGCGUGAUGCUUCUCAGUUAUCUAUACUAUACUUAAAGCAUCA